UGCAGCCGGGGAGAUAGCGGUGCCCUGUACCUGCAAUCCGCUCCAGCAGGGGUCAUGUUCCGACCGAGGGUUUUGGUCUGUGGAGCUGCCCGUUGUAAGCGGCGUUGACGUUUGGGUCUCGCGCAACAGAAACCGGUGAACCGUGUCAGGUCAGGAAUGAAGCAGCACUAAGCCGGAGCUUCUGUGUGCCGUGAGGCAGCCUGGACCGAGCUGGCUGCAGCGGUACCGUCCAUGGGCCAUGCUCGAAG
rnacentral:SRP_RNA from 1 species